CGCGAACGCACUUCGGUGCAAGUAGAGUGGCGAAAGGGCGAGGAAUAAGUACCUAACGUGCCUUCAGGUAAGGGAUAGCUCAUGGAAACGUGUGGUAAUACCUUAUGAUCUCAAUCUCCCGUAUGGUUGAUUGAGCAAAGGCUUGCUGCCUGAAGAUCGGGGUACUUCCUAUCAGCUUGUUGGUGAGGUAACGGCUCACCAAGGCUAAGACGGGUAGCGGGUGUGAGAGCAUGACCCGCCGCAUCGGGACUGAGACACUGCCCGGACUCCUACGGGAGGCUGCAGUAACGAAUAUUCCGCAAUGCGCGAAAGCGUAACGGAGCAAUGCCGCGUGUGGGAUGAGGCAUCUAGGUGUGUAAACCACUGUCAGGGUUUAGGAAUUUUGACCAGGCCCAAAGGAAGAGCCGGCUAACUCUGUGCCAGCAGCCGCGGUAAUACAGAGGGCUCAAGCGUUAAUCGGAAUCACUGGGCUUAAAGGGUCCGCAGGCGGAUUGGCAAGUAUCUUGUGAAAUACCAUGGCUCAACCAUGGAACUGCUCGGUAAACUGCCAGUCUUGAACUCGGUAGGGGCCAUCGGAACUCUAGGUGGAGCGGUGAAAUGCGUAGAUAUCUAGAGGAACGCCAGAGGCGAAGGCGGAUGGCUGGGCCGUUGUUGACGCUCAGGGACGAAAGCGUGGGUAGCGAACGGGAUUAGAUACCCCGGUAGUCCACGCCCUAAACGAUGUGCACUAGGUCGCGGAGGGUUUGACCCCAUCGCGGCUGAAGUUAAAAUAUUAAGUGCACCGCCUGGGGAGUACGGUCGCAAGGCUAAAACUCAAAGGAAUUGACGGGGGCUCACACAAGCGGUGGAGCAUGUGGCUUAAUUCGAAGCAACGCGAAGAACCUUAUCCAGGGCUUGACAUGUAUGGAUUAUUGAUCCGAAAGUGAUAAACGCUCUCUGAGUGGAACAUACACAGUGCUGCAUGGCUGUCGUCAGCUCGUGCUGUGAAGUGUCGGGUAAGUCCAUAACG
rnacentral:rRNA from 1 species